CAAAGGAAUUGACGGGACCCCGCACAAGCAGCGGAGCGUGUGGUUUAAUUCGAGGCUACACGAAGAACCUUACCAGGGUUUGACAUGCAAGUGGUAGGAAUCCGAAAGGUGACCGACCCUUCGGGGAGCUUGCACAGGUGCUGCAUGGCUGUCGUCAGCUCGUGUCGUGAGAUGUUCGGUUAAGUCCGCUAACGAGCGCAACCCUCGUCGUGUGUUAUACGUGUCACACGAUACUGCCGGUAUCAAGCCGGAGGAAGGUGGGGAUGAUGUCAAGUCAGCAUGGCCUUUAUAUCCUGGGCUACACACACGCUACAAUGGCAGAUACAAUAGGUUGCGAAACCGCGAGGUGGAGCCAAUCCUCAAAGUCUGUCUCAGUUCAGAUUGUAGGCUGCAACUCGCCUGCAUGAAGUUGGAGUUGCUAGUAAACGCAGGACAGCUAUACUGCGUUGAAUACGUUCCCGGGGUUU
rnacentral:rRNA from 1 species